UAGAAAGAAAAUUAAAAUGGAGUGGUUCCAUCCGAGGAGAAGGGGUCCUGAGUGGAAACAUGGGUGGGCAGGCCAGACUCUGGCUUCCAUCUCUACACCACCAUCUCCAUUGCUCACCAUUUUUGGCAUAGUUAUUCUCCUACUAUGGCUCUCUCAGUACACAGAUUACAAGUCUCAAUUACGCCACACAGCAAUCAACUUUCAGCUUUUCCUUUUCUUGCUACCCAUUCUGCUUAUUUUCUUGGUGGCUUCAUAUUCUACAAACUGGAUGCUUUAUUCCCGGCUCCAACAACCGCAGCAUGAUUCGGUUAGUCCAGCUGCUGCUGCUGGGGGAUCUUCGCCUUGGGGUAUUGCCAUCUUUGUGGUGCUGCUGCUUGUUUUGCUUUCUUACCAAUCUACAUUUCAUUCCAAAUGGUUUGGACCUCUUGGGAGGUCAGAUUAACUAUAGUUUACAUAAAUUAGGCAUGAAAUAUGGAAGACAACUACAGUACUUGUGUGUGAUUAUAAACUUUAUAUUUUCUUUGUAUUUUUUUUUUAUUUUACAAUUGGA
rnacentral:misc_RNA from 1 species